rnacentral:tRNA from 1 species
GGAGGGAUGGCCGAGUGGUUUAAGGCGGCGGUCUUGAAAACCGCUGAGGGUUUAAAAAAGCCCUCCGGGGGUUCGAAUCCCUCUCCCUCCGCCA